rnacentral:rRNA from 1 species
UUGAACGCUGGCGGCAUGCCUAACACAUGCAAGUCGCACGGGGGAUGGUAGCUUGCUACUAUUCUUAGUGGCGGACGGGUGAGUAACGCAUAGGAAUCUGCCUUUGGGAGGGGGAUAACUGAGGGAAACUUCAGCUAAUACCACAUAAUGUCUACGGACCAAACGCGGGGGACCUUCGGGCCUCGCACUCAGAGAGGAGCCUAUGCCGGAUUAGCUAGUUGGUGGGGUAAAGGCCUACCAAGGCGAAGAUCCGUAGCUGGUUCGAGAGAAUGGCCAGCCACACUGGGACUGAGACACGGCCCAGACUCCUACGGGAGGCAGCAGUGGGGAAUAUUGGACAAUGGGGGCAACCCUGAUCCAGCAAUGCCGCGUGAGUGAAGAAGGCCUUCGGGUUGUAAAGCUCUUUUGUGGGGGAGGAAGCGCUGUUGUGAAUAAUGACAGUGGUUGACGUUACCCCAAGAAUAAGCACCGGCUAACUCUGU